rnacentral:lncRNA from 1 species
AAGAGACCUAAGAGAUAGAAAAUAGAGAAUUUCUGAAACAGCUAAUAUUUUACCGUUCCAUCAAAAUUUCAGUGAUCUUUUACUUCUGAAAAAAUAAAGUUCCUAUCCUGAUAUCCACCAUGUAUUGAGGUCUGGUUGUUAAAGGUUCUGAGUCAAACUGGUUGAGUAUUGAUCUUCCGUUGGUUUUCUGAGUGGAUUUCUGGGUUUAAUUGUUGAAUCUGGUUGGUUUUUGCUGCUGAUUGCAUGAUGAUAUUACUGCUGUCUCCUCAUUUUCUGGUUUUAUUUUCUUCCAGGUACAUGUUUCUUGAAACUCCACAUGUUUGGGUGAAACUUUCAGUUGAAGAAUAAAUAAGAAAGAAGAAUUCUGAAGCAUAAUUUCGAUCGUUUUCUAGUUUAACUAUGCUUUACUUUGAAUUUCUUUUCUUGUUUGACAUGCCAUAUUGUUAGUUGACCUCUGUGUUAAUUAAACGAUUACUUUUAUAAUUGAUUUGGAACUAUUGUAAAGCUAAAGGGACAGUUUGUUAUAUAGGUUCAAGUCACACAUGCAUGUUUGAGAAAUCUGGUAAUUGUAAAUAGUUUUGAACUCAGCUGCUAGGGUGUUCUUUAGUUGACAAUAUAUUAAUCAUGUUCUGUGGAUCAUAUGUUCAGCUACUGGUUUUAACUGGAAGUAUUUUUUUCGGAUUUCUGGGGUAUUAUAAUUAUGCUAUAAGAAAAAUGAUCCAUAGUAUAUUCGACAAUAGAUUUAGCUCAUUUUGGUUUGAUUGUGAGCACCUGUAAUUGGAAAUCAUGGGUUGUAAUGUUCAGUUAAUGGUUCAACACUUAAAGAACAGAGUUCAAUUUCAUUUUUAUGUUGGUUUCUGAUUAAACGCAAAUGGUAGUUGGUCCUGAGGACUUGAUCCUAAGGUUUGAGUUGGGGCACUCAUUUUAUUAGCAAAAUUUGGGAUCUCGCUGAUUCCCCUAUAAUUGGAUGAUUCUCGUGCAGGGAGACUCGAUCUCGAGUCUGCACUUGAUGUGGCUCAAGUUCCAAAUUCGUAACUCACAUUGGGCUGGGGAUGUAAGCCCAUUUGUUAUUUUUAUUUACCUCAUUUGUCUUUCCAUGUAAAGGGCUAGCUGUUGGGCCCAAGUCCUUGCAUAAUAAUACAAUUCACAACGCAGGACUGUUGACUUUAAUUUGGUCAAAGGGUUUAGUCUAGUCAGCAACGAUCUCUCUUGCUCGUUGAAUUAAUAAAUUAAGGGGAGCGGUGGUUAGAUAACACGAAAUAGCUAUGGCCCUCAAACAUUUAGAUUGAACUUUCUUUCUUUCUUUUAAAAAUGGAAUUGAAGUGCACCGCGCCAAAUAAAAUCUUAAAUGCGUGGCCCUCGUUUAAUUAUUUUAAAAUCCUUAGAAUUCGAGGCGUGCCAUUUAGCAAAUUUUCAUGGCCUUCGCAAAUGUUAAAAAUGCGUAGUUGCUUUAGGCGCGUUAUCUUAAUAAUUUACCUUCCUAAACUCGGGUGCACANNNN